rnacentral:rRNA from 1 species
GAGGACCGAACCGACUAAUGUUGAAAAAUUAGCGGAUGACUUGUGGCUGGGGGUGAAAGGCCAAUCAAACCGGGAGAUAGCUGGUUCUCCCCGAAAGCUAUUUAGGUAGCGCCUCGUGAACUCAUCUCCGGGGGUAGAGCACUGUUUCGGCUAGGGGGUCAUCCCGACUUACCAACCCGAUGCAAACUGCGAAUACCGGAGAAUGUUAUCACGGGAGACACACGGCGGGUGCUAACGUUCGUCGUGAAGAGGGAAACAA